rnacentral:rRNA from 1 species
CGGGUGAGUAACACGUAUCCAACCUGCCGUCUACUCUUGGACAGCCUUCUGAAAGGAAGAUUAAUACAAGAUGGCAUCAUGAGUCCACAUGUUCACAUGAUUAAAGGUAUUCCGGUAGACGAUGGGGAUGCGUUCCAUUAGAUAGUAGGCGGGGUAACGGCCCACCUAGUCUUCGAUGGAUAGGGGUUCUGAGAGGAAGGUCCCCCACAUUGGAACUGAGACACGGUCCAAACUCCUACGGGAGGCAGCAGUGAGGAAUAUUGGUCAAUGGGCGAGAGCCUGAACCAGCCAAGUAGCGUGAAGGAUGACUGCCCUAUGGGUUGUAAACUUCUUUUAUAAAGGAAUAAAGUUGGGUAUGCAUACCCGUUUGCAUGUACUUUAUGAAUAAGGAUCGGCUAACUCCGUGCCAGCAGCCGCGGUAAUACGGAGGAUCCGAGCGUUAUCCGGAUUUAUUGGGUUUAAAGGGAGCGUAGAUGGAUGUUUAAGUCAGUUGUGAAAGUUUGCGGCUCAACCGUAAAAUUGCAGUUGAUACUGGAUAUCUUGAGUGCAGUUGAGGCAGGCGGAAUUCGUGGUGUAGCGGUGAAAUGCUUAGAUAUCACGAAGAACUCCGAUUGCGAAGGCAGCCUGCUAAGCUGCAACUGACAUUGAGGCUCGAAAGUGUGGGUAUCAAACAGGAUUAGAUACCCUGGUAGUCCACACGGUAAACGAUGAAUACUCGCUGUUUGCGAUAUACAGCAAGCGGCCAAGCGA